UAUAUUUUAGUGUAAGAAGCACGUUAAUUUUUGAUAUUAAAAGAUAUAGUUUAAUUCUAUAAAAUAUAU
rnacentral:tRNA from 1 species